rnacentral:rRNA from 1 species
GACGAACGCUGGCGGCGUGCUUAACACAUGCAAGUCGAACGGUAAGGCUCCAGCUUGCUGGGGUACACGAGUGGCGAACGGGUGAGUAACACGUGGGUGACCUGCCCUGCACUUCGGGAUAAGCCUGGGAAACUGGGUCUAAUACCGGAUAGGACCGCACCGUGAGGGUGUGGUGGAAAGUUUUUUCGGUGUGGGAUGGGCCCGCGGCCUAUCAGCUUGUUGGUGGGGUAAUGGCCUACCAAGGCGGCGACGGGUAGCCGGCCUGAGAGGGUGGACGGCCACAUUGGGACUGAGACACGGCCCAGACUCCUACGGGAGGCAGCAGUGGGGAAUGUUGCACAAUGGGCGGAAGCCUGAUGCAGCGACGCCGCGUGGGGGAUGACGGCCUUCGGGUUGUAAACUCCUUUCACCAUCGACGAAGGGUUUCUGACGGUAGAUGGAGAAGAAGCACCGGCUAACUACGUGCCAGCAGCCGCGGUAAUACGUAGGGUGCGAGCGUUGUCCGGAAUUACUGGGCGUAAAGAGCUCGUAGGUGGUUUGUCGCGUCGUCUGUGAAAUUCCGGGGCUUAACUCCGGGCGUGCAGGCGAUACGGGCAUAACUUGAGUACUGUAGGGGAGACUGGAAUUCCUGGUGUAGCGGUGAAAUGCGCAGAUAUCAGGAGGAACACCGGUGGCGAAGGCGGGUCUCUGGGCAGUAACUGACGCUGAGGAGCGAAAGCAUGGGGAGCGAACAGGAUUAGAUACCCUGGUAGUCCAUGCCGUAAACGGUGGGCGCUAGGUGUGGGUUUCCUUCCACGGGAUCCGUGCCGUAGCUAACGCAUUAAGCGCCCCGCCUGGGGAGUACGGCCGCAAGGCUAAAACUCAAAGGAAUUGACGGGGGCCCGCACAAGCGGCGGAGCAUGUGGAUUAAUUCGAUGCAACGCGAAGAACCUUACCUGGGCUUGACAUAUACAGGAUCGCGCCAGAGAUGGUGUUUCCCUUGUGGCUUGUAUACAGGUGGUGCAUGGUUGUCGUCAGCUCGUGUCGUGAGAUGUUGGGUUAAGUCCCGCAACGAGCGCAACCCUUGUCUUAUGUUGCCAGCACGUUGUGGUGGGGACUCGUAAGAAACUGCCGGGGUUAACUCGGAGGAAGAUGGGGAUGACGUCAAAUCAUCAUGCCCCUUAUGUCCAGGGCUUCACACAUGCUACAAUGGUCGGUACAGUGGGUUGCCAGUCCGUGAGGGCGAGCUAAUCCCGCAAAGCCGGUCUCAGUUCGGAUCGGGGUCUGCAACUCGACCCCGUGAAGUCGGAGUCGCUAGUAAUCGCAGAUCAGCAACGCUGCGGUGAAUACGUUCCCGGGCCU